rnacentral:rRNA from 1 species
GUCGAGCGGAUGAAGAGAGCUUGCUUUCUGAUUCAGCGGCGGACGGGUGAGUAAUGCCUAGGAAUCUGCCUGAUAGUGGGGGACAACGUUUCGAAAGGAACGCUAAUACCGCAUACGUCCUACGGGAGAAAGCAGGGGACCUUCGGGCCUUGCGCUAUCAGAUGAGCCUAGGUCGGAUUAGCUAGUUGGUGAGGUAACGGCUCACCAAGGCGACGAUCCGUAACUGGUCUGAGAGGAUGAUCAGUCACACUGGAACUGAGACACGGUCCAGACUCCUACGGGAGGCAGCAGUGGGGAAUAUUGGACAAUGGGCGAAAGCCUGAUCCAGCCAUGCCGCGUGUGUGAAGAAGGUCUUCGGAUUGUAAAGCACUUUAAGUUGGGAGGAAGGGCAUUAACCUAAUACGUUAGUGUUUUGACGUUACCGACAGAAUAAGCACCGGCUAACUUCGUGCCAGCAGCCGCGGUAAUACGAAGGGUGCAAGCGUUAAUCGGAAUUACUGGGCGUAAAGCGCGCGUAGGUGGUUUGUUAAGUUGAAUGUGAAAGCCCCGGGCUCAACCUGGGAACUGCAUCCAAAACUGGCAAGCUAGAGUAUGGCAGAGGGUGGUGGAAUUUCCUGUGUAGCGGUGAAAUGCGUAGAUAUAGGAAGGAACACCAGUGGCGAAGGCGACCACCUGGGCUAAUACUGACACUGAGGUGCGAAAGCGUGGGGAGCAAACAGGAUUAGAUACCCUGGUAGUCCACGCCGUAAACGAUGUCGACUAGCCGUUGGGAUCCUUGAGAUCUUAGUGGCGCAGCUAACGCAUUAAGUCGACCGCCUGGGGAGUACGGCCGCAAGGUUAAAACUCAAAUGAAUUGACGGGGG